rnacentral:rRNA from 1 species
GCAGUCGAACGGCAGCGGGAAAGUAGCUUGCUACUUUUGCCGGCGAGUGGCGAACGGGUGAGUAAUGUAUCGGAACGUGCCCAGUAGCGGGGGAUAACUACGCGAAAGCGUGGCUAAUACCGCAUACGCCCUACGGGGGAAAGGGGGGGAUCUUAGGACCUCUCACUAUUGGAGCGGCCGAUAUCGGAUUAGCUAGUUGGUGGGGUAAAGGCCUACCAAGGCGACGAUCCGUAGCUGGUUUGAGAGGACGACCAGCCACACUGGGACUGAGACACGGCCCAGACUCCUACGGGAGGCAGCAGUGGGGAAUUUUGGACAAUGGGGGAAACCCUGAUCCAGCCAUCCCGCGUGUGCGAUGAAGGCCUUCGGGUUGUAAAGCACUUUUGUCAGGGAAGAAAAGGUUUCGGAUAAUACCCGGAACUGAUGACGGUACCUGAAGAAUAAGCACCGGCUAACUACGUGCCAGCAGCCGCGGUAAUACGUAGGGUGCAAGCGUUAAUCGGAAUUACUGGGCGUAAAGCGUGCGCAGGCGGUUCGGAAAGAAAGAUGUGAAAUCCCAGGGCUCAACCUUGGAACUGCAUUUUUAACUACCGAACUAGAGUAUGUCAGAGGGGGGUGGAAUUCCACGUGUAGCAGUGAAAUGCGUAGAUAUGUGGAGGAACACCGAUGGCGAAGGCAGCCCCCUGGGAUAAUACUGACGCUCAUGCACGAAAGCGUGGGGAGCAAACAGGAUUAGAUACCCUGGUAGUCCACGCCCUAAACGAUGUCAACUAGCUGUUGGGCCCUUCGGGGCUUAGUAGCGCAGCUAACGCGUGAAGUUGACCGCCUGGGGAGUACGGUCGCAAGAUUAAAACUCAAAGGAAUUGACGGGGACCCGCACAGCGGUGGAUGAUGUGGAUUAAUUCGAUGCAACGCGAAAACCUUACCUACCCUUGACAUGUCUGGAAUCCUGAAGAGAUUUAGGAGUGCUCGCAGAGACCCGUACACAAGUGCUGCAUGGCUGUCGUCAGCUCGUG